UUGGAGGGCAAGUCUGGUGCCAGCAGGCGCGGUAACUCCAGCUCCAAUAGCGUAUAUUAAAGUUGUUGCAGUUAAAAAGCUCGUAGUUGAAUUUCGGGAUCAAUUUAUCGGUCGUGCUAUUGUACGUACUGGUAUUAUUGAUUCCUACCUUCUGACGAACCAUGAUGUCAUUAAUUUGGUGUCAUGGGGAAUCAGGACUGUUACUUUGAAAAAAUUAGAGUGUUUAAAGCAGGCUCACGCUUGAAUACAUUAGCAUGGAAUAACGAAAUAGGACGUUUGAUUCUAUUUUGUUGGUUUCUAGGAUCGACGUAAUGAUUAAUAGGGAUAGUUGGGGGCAUUAGUAUUCAAUUGUCAGAGGUGAAAUUCUUGGAUUUAUUGAAGACUAACUACUGCGAAAGCAUUUGCCAAGGAUGUUUUCAUUAAUCAAGAACGAAAGUUAGGGGAUCGAAGACGAUCAGAUACCGUCGUAGUCUUAACCAUAAACUAUGCCGACUAGGGAUCGGAUGAUGUUAAUUUUUUAAUGACUCAUUCGGCGCCUUACGGGAAACCAAAGUGUUUGGGUUC
rnacentral:rRNA from 1 species